AACGAACGCUGGCGGCAGGCUUAACACAUGCAAGUCGAGCGCCCCGCAAGGGGAGCGGCAGACGGGUGAGUAACGCGUGGGAAUCUACCCUUUUCUACGGAAUAACGCAGGGAAACUUGUGCUAAUACCGUACGAGCCCUUCGGGGGAAAGAUUUAUCGGGAAAGGAUGAGCCCGCGUUGGAUUAGCUAGUUGGUGGGGUAAAGGCCUACCAAGGCGACGAUCCAUAGCUGGUCUGAGAGGAUGAUCAGCCACAUUGGGACUGAGACACGGCCCAAACUCCUACGGGAGGCAGCAGUGGGGAAUAUUGGACAAUGGGCGCAAGCCUGAUCCAGCCAUGCCGCGUGAGUGAUGAAGGCCCUAGGGUUGUAAAGCUCUUUCACCGGUGAAGAUAAUGACGGUAACCGGAGAAGAAGCACCGGCUAACUACGUG
rnacentral:rRNA from 1 species